GCUCAACUGGGGGCCGCCUCGUACCUCUAGUCCCAGCUGCCCCGCUGGGAGUUAAGCAAUUCGCGGUCUCCCUCUAUCCCACCUGGGAGAUGAGGAAACAGAUGAGAAAAUAUCUCCAUGGAGAUAUUAAAGACUAGCCCAAAGUCAAAGAGUAACCCAGAAGCAGUGCAAGAACUUUCUUCUGUGCUCUUUCUACCACAUCAACCACCUUUGUUAAGAAGUUGUUCCAGCCACUUCCUUCCAUGGAACUCCCACACUUCUUAUUGUCUCCAUUGCUCAUGUUAAUUCUCAAAUAUAUCCUGUUUUAUACAUCCGCA